UGAGAUUUACCAGAAAUUAAAUACAAGGACUGAGGUGUGCACAUGAUUUCCUAUAGCUGGCAGGUUAAGGUUGAUUGUUACAGUAUAGCUGUGCAGUGCUAUAUUGUCCUUGCCCCUGCUGAAAGCAAUUGUUUCCUACAAUCUCUGUCUAGCUCAAUUCUAUAGCAAGACAGGGACGCUUGGUCUCAAACAUUACUUCUCUAAGUGUUAUUAUAAAACUGUUAGAUCUGCUUGAUUGAUGUGUCAACAUAAUUAGUCAUUGUCUCUUUUUUAAGGUUGUGUUGCUUUCUGCCUCAACGUCAACAGAUAUGUUGGAAGUGGUCAAAAAGUUCAUGAGAGAUCCAUUUCAAAUUGAAGUGGAGAAGGAAGAAUUGACCCUUGAAAGUGUCAAUAUUUUAUAAGAAUUUUGAAAGAGGGUGGUGACAGAAAGAAAGAGACGUUAUCAAGAGGGAGUUCAGUGAAAUAAAUUCAUGUAUUGCUUUUCAAGUAUGAUUUUGUCAGCCAACCUUGAAAAUCAGGAAGAUUAGCCCUGAGCUAACAUCUGCUGCCAAUCCUCCUCUUUUUGCUGAGGAAGACUGGCCCUGAGGUAACGUCCAUGCCCAUCUUCCUCUACUUUAUAUGUGGGACUCCUGCCACAGCAUGGCUUGACAAGCUGUGUGUAGGUUCGCACCCAGAAUCCAAACCAGCAAACCCCGGGCCGCCGAAGUGGAACAUGCGAACUUAACCACUGUACCACUGGGCUGGCCCCUCAUUGUUUUAAUUGCAUUUCCUUCAUGAUUAGUGAUGUUGAGCAUCUUUUUAUGUGCUUGUUAGCCAUCUGUAUAUCUUCUUUGGAAAAAUGUCUAUUCAAAUCAUCUGCCCAUUUUUUACUUGGGUGGUUUGUUUUUUUGAUAUUAAGUUGUGUCAGUUCUUUAUGUAUUCUUUAUGGAUAUUAAACCCUCAUUGGAAGUAUGAUUUGCAAAUAUCUUCUCCCAUUCAGUAGGUUGCCUUUUUGUUUUGUUGAUGGUUUCCUUCACUGUUCAAAUGCUUUUUAUUUUGAUGUAAUCCCAUUUGUUUAUUUUUGCUUUUGUUGGCCUUGCCUGAGGAGACUGGUCCAAAAAAAUAUUGCUAAGACCAGUGUCAAAGAGCUGACUUCUCGUAUUUUCUUCUAGGAUUUUUUUUAUUUCAGGUCUUACAUUCAAGUCGUUAGUCCAUUUUGAGUUGAUUUUUAUGUAUGGGGUAAUAUAGUGGUCCAGUUUCAUUCUUUUGCAUGUAGCUGUCCAGUUUUCCAAAAACCAUUUAUUAAAGAGACUGUCUUUUCUCCAUUGUCUAUUCCUGCC
rnacentral:lncRNA from 1 species